GUUGUUUUUGUGCGGGAUAAGCAUGAAUAGAAAGGAUAGUAAAGUGAAUUUAUGGAACAUGGUUUUAAGUAAUGCAAGACAUGCGAUAUGGGUAAGGAGGAACAUGGCAUAUUAUGAUAGGAAAAAAGUGGAUGUAAUGGCAAUGUUCAAAAUGAUCUUUAGGAAAAAUGUGUAUUUGAUGUGGAAAUAUUUGCCUAAUGAGGAAUUUGAAAGAGCGUUUGUAGAAGGGAGUAAGUUGAUUAGAAUAGAAGGGAAAAAAGGGUUGGGUAUAAAAUUUUGAGAAAAAAAAAUGAGUUGGAGUUAUGAGUUGGGUAAAUUUUGUUGUUUUGUCCUGGCUCUGUGGGUAAUCUUUGUUUUGUUUUAUGUUUAUUUUGAAUGAUGCAUAUGUGGACUGAUUCUAUAGCUUAAGUGCUAGAUGCCUUGGUUGAAACAUGAUUCACGUUUGAAGAUGCAAGGAUGUGAAACUGAAUUAUUUAUUUUAUGUAAAUAUUAAUUUUGUUCUUUUUGAUGAUAAAAAAAAAAACAAAAAAAAAGCACGCCCGAUCUCGUAAGCUAAGCAGGGUCGGGCCUGGUUAGUACUUGGAUGGGAGACCGCCUGGGAAUACCAGGUGCUGUAAGCUUUUGCUUUUCCUUCAGCUAACACGCUUCUUUCAUUCUAGUUCCUUUACACGUUUAAACGGAUUUGCUGCUCCUUGUUUUUUGUGUGUUUUUUCCUUCUCUGUGCCGUCUUUCUGUUUGCGGUGUGACAAAGGACAGCUCAGCCUCGUCAUUCUUCCUUUCUCCUGCAGGAGGCGAUAGACAGGCCUUUUCUCUCUCUACUACAAACUCUUGAGCGCCGCGUGCUCUUUUGGAAAUGACGCUCCUCUCUUCAGCUUGAGACGGAGCUUCCCAAAUUUGAUUGUCAUCCGAACAAUCCCUUAGUGGUAAACUACACAGGAGAUGUAACCUCUUAGAUUUAAAGUUAAUUUUUCAAGAAAUUAACA